CCUAUGUUCUCUCCUAAGUCACUGAACACACUGACUCUAACCAUGGGAUGGAGCUGGUUCUUUUUCUUCCUCCUGUCAGUAACUGCAGUUGUCCACUCCGAGGUUCAGCUGCAUCAAUCUGGAGCUGAGCUGGUGCGGCCUGGGGCCUCAGUGAAGCUGUCCUGCAAGGCUUCUGGCUUUGACUUCACCUACUACUAUAUGCACUGGGUAAAGCAGAGUAAUGGGAAGAGCCUUGAGUGGAUUGGCAGGAUUUAUCCUUACAAUGGUGAUACUGUCUACAAUGAACAGUUCAAGGGCAAGGCCACAUUGACUGUAGACAAAUCCUCCAGCACAACCUACAUGCAGCUCAGCAGCCUGACAUCUGAAGAUUCUGCGGUCUAUUUCUGUGCAAGACACAGUGUGACAACCACAUCCUGA